rnacentral:rRNA from 1 species
UAGGGAAUCUUCCACAAUGGACGACAGUCUGAUGGAGCAACGCCGCGUGAGUGAUGAAGGGUUUCGGCUCGUAAAACUCUGUUGUUGGAGAAGAACGGGUGUCAGAGUAACUGUUGACAUCGUGACGGUAUCCAACCAGAAAGCCACGGCUAACUACGUGCCAGCAGCCGCGGUAAUACGUAGGUGGCAAGCGUUGUCCGGAUUUAUUGGGCGUAAAGCGAGCGCAGGCGGUUUUUUAGGUCUGAUGUGAAAGCCUUCGGCUUAACCGGAGAAGUGCAUCGGAAACCGGGAGACUUGAGUGCAGAAGAGGACAGUGGAACUCCAUGUGUAGCGGUGAAAUGCGUAGAUAUAUGGAAGAACACCAGUGGCGAAGGCGGCUGUCUGGUCUGCAACUGACGCUGAGGCUCGAAAGCAUGGGUAGCGAACAGGAUUAGAUACCCUGGUAGUCCAUGCCGUAAACGAUGAGUGCUAAGUGUUGGAGGGUUUCCGCCCUUCAGUGCUGCAGCUAACGCAUUAAGCACUCCGCCUGGGGGAGUACGACCGCAAGGUUGAAAC